AUUCCAGAGGUGAUAUAGCUCGCUAUAUCACUCCGGCAGCAAGCGAAGGUGCCCUUGGCACCCGUGGUAUGGUCCCCCCGGCUAUACCACGACUUUUUUUU
rnacentral:ncRNA from 1 species